CCCCGCCCCCCCCCGGCGCGCGGGGGGGACACACGGGGGACAGGGGACGCGCAGGGGACACGGGACCGUCAGGGGACAGGGAUGGACAAGGGAUAUGGGACAUUCAGGGGACACAGGCAGGGACAGGGGACACAGGACAGACAGAACACAGGGAACAGGCAGGGGAUGCAGGCAGGGACAGGGGACACAUGGGACAUUGAGGGGACACAGGCAGGGACAGGGGACACGCAGGGGACAGGGAUGGACAGGGGACACAGGGACACGGGACACGGGACAUUCAGGAGACACGCAGGGGACAGGCAGGGACAGGGGACACAGGACAGACGGAACACAGGGGACAUCCAGGGGACACAGGCAAGGACAGGGUCGUGGCAGGCAGGGGACAGGCAGGGGACAGGAGGGAGGGGAUGGGGAAGAGAGCCUGUUCAGGGCUGGAUCCCCGUGUCCCCCGGGAUCCUCCUGGGAUCAGGGGAUCACUGUGUCCCCCCCCAGGGACCCUCCUGGGAUCAGGGGAUCCCCACGUGUCCCCCGGGAUCCUCCUGGGAUUGGGGAUCCCUGUGUCCCCUGGGAUCCUCCCGGGAUUGGGAUACGUGAUCCAGGGGAUGCCCAUGCCCCUCAGUGGAUCCUCCUGGGAUCAGGGGAUCCCUGUGUCUCCCUCCGGGAUCCUGCUGGAAUCAGGAAUCCCCACGUGUCCCCCCUCCAGGAUCCUCCUGGGAUCGGGGCUCCCCAUGUCCCCCCCGCCAGGGAUCCUCCCGGGAUCAGGGGAACCCCAUGUCUCCCUCGGGGAUCCUCCCGGGACGGGGGAUCCCCGCGUGCCCCCCCCGCCGGCGGCUCCCGCUCACCGGCGGCCACAAAGAGGAUGCCGGCGCCCAGGAUGAUGUUGCGCCUGGACUUGUAGACGCGGCUGGCGGCGACGCAGAAGCCGCCGAGGAGCAGCAGGAUGGCGCUGAGGAUGGGGAAGAUGCUCGAGGCCC
rnacentral:lncRNA from 1 species